CUCUGGGCUGGGUUAAUUCACUUCCUUCUCCAGGGCUUCGCUGAACUCUGCACAGACCUCAAUUACAACCCUUAUAAAGCUGGGUUGUGGUCGGGUGCGGUGGCUCAUGCCUGUAAUCCCAGCACUUGGGAGACUGAGGCAUGUGAGUCGCCUGAACCCGGGAGGCAGAGGUUGAAGUGAGCCGAGAUCGUGCCACUGCACUCCAGCCUGGGCGACAGAGCGAGACUCCGUCUCAAAAGGUCUCGUUUUGUCACCCAGGCUGGAUACACUGGCACGUUCAAUAGUUCACGGCAGCCUCGACCUCCCGGGCUCAAGCAACUCUCCCAUCUCAGCAUCCCGAGUAGCUGAGACCACAGUAGAGACGGGGUUUCACCGUGUUAGCCAGGAUCGUCUGGAUCUCCUGACCUCGUGAUCCACCCGCCUUGGCCUCCCAAAGUGCUAGGAUUACAGGCGUGGGACACCGUGCCCAGCCCAGGUCCUUGUGCCCUUCGAGGGUGCAGACGGUGGUCUCUGCAUCUCCUUUGCUCCACGUGCCAGGCACAGGUGCCUGGGAACUACAGAAGAGGUUGAAUAGAAGGCUUAACAAUGAGUUUGGAAGUCAGGCACAGAGGGUUUGACUUCCGGGGGCACCCCUUGCCAGCUGUAUGACCCUGGCAAGUCACUCUUCCUUUCUGCGCCUUGGUCCCUGCAUCUAUAAAUUGCUGUAAGGAUGAAAUUACAUAAUUAUAGGUAAAGCACCUGGCACAGUGAACAGUCCACAAAUCUUAGCUAUAAUAACAAUGACGUCAGUUAAGUAACUCACUUAGAAACAACACUGGCCACUGAAGUGGAGGGCCAGUGAAGUGGAGUCAAGUGCUGGGAGGAAGUCCAGGCCAGCAGGCCAACUUUGGUAUACAAAGAUGUGAAAACACGCUUGGCGUGGUGGCUCACGCCUGUAAUCCCAGCACUUCGGAAGGCCGAAGCAGGCAGAUCACCUGAGGUCAGGAGUUCCAGACCAGCCUGGCCAAGAUGGCGAAACUCUGUCUCUACUAAAAAUAUAAAAAUUAGCCAGGCGUGUUGGCGUGUGCCUGUAGUCCCGGCUACUCCUCGGGAGGCUGAGGCAGGAGAAUCACUUGAACCUGGGAGGCAGAAGUUGCAGUGGGCCGAGAUUGCACCAUUGCACUCCAGCCUGGGUGACAGAGCAAGACCCUGUCUCAAAACAAAAAAACAAAGAUGUGAAAACAGCCAACCACCAGGUGGCAAUCCAUGCAAGAGCCCAGCUGCCGGGUGUGCCCCAGCUUCAAGCCAGACAGACCUCAGACAUCCAGGGCCUGGGGAAGGUCCAGCCCCAAAUGGCAGCCAUCUGAUAGCAGCAAAAGAAAACCUGUGGGCCAGGCGCGGUGGCUCACGCCUGUAAUCUCAGCACUUUGGGAGGCCGCGGCGGGCGGAUCACGAGGUCAGGAGUUCAAGACCAGCUUGGCCAAUAUGGUGAAACCCCAUCUCUACUAAAAAUACAAAAAUUAACUGGGUGUGGUGGCGCAUGCCUGUAGUCCCAGCUACUCAAGAGGCUGAGGCAGAAGAAUCACUUGAAUCUGGGAGGCGGAGGUUACAGUGAGCCGAGAUAGUGCCGCUGCACUCCAGCCUGGGCAACAGAACGAGACUGUCUCAAAAAAAAAAAAAAAGAAAACCUGUGAACCUGGGGGCUGGGGAACAGAGCUCUUGCCCAUGCGAAACAUGGGGUGCUGGGAGAGCUCAUGAAAAUGUACAUCAUUCAUGUGCCAUGCGCUUGCUGAGUACUUCCCAUGCAUAAUUCAAUUUCAGCCUCAUGGCAGCCUUUCUCAGUUGAUGUUGUUAUCCCAGUUCAGAGAGGAGUAAACUGAGGCCCAGAGAAGUUAAAAAACUUGCCCAAGGACAUACAGCUAGUGAGUGGUGGAGCUGGGAUUUGAACCCAGGCAGUCUGUUUCCAGAGAACUGCUUCAGGCCCUCCUGCCCCUAUCAAGAGGCCAGGGCAGGGCAGAGCCUACAGGUGGGACUCCAGGGGUCCAGAGCUGGAUGAUCUACACACAGGGGAUCACAUGAUGCAAGCAGUUUCCGUACAAUGCGUUCUAUUUAGGGUGGGUUGUCCUUCUCCAGAAGGAAGAAUUUCUCCCUGGAGACUGGCCAGAUGCAGCCUGGUGGGUGGCAGUGCAUACAUUCCCAUCUCCUCAGACCUACCUACCAAGAACAGCCGCGCUGAUGAGAGUCCUGUGUCACUGGCGAAAUUGCUUCCAAAUUGCCUUCUUCAUUAACUGUGCAAAUUUGCAUCUUAAUUAGGCUUAAUGGAAUACAAUUACCAGACCCCACGUUUCUCUCUCUGAUUUCAAGCAAGGAUGCCACAGAGACAGGCCAGAAGCCAAAAACGUGGGGCUGGAGGGAGCCUGGUUGGGCUCUCCCUGCAGGAAACCUCGCAUCUGGGAAAGGAGGGGCCAGGCGCUACCCAGCGGGGACUGCACCUGGUACAUCCAGGCUCCUGAACUGAGGAGACCAUGGGAUUUGGAAUCAAGCUUUGGGAAGCCUGCCUCUGCCUCUGACCAGUGGAGGACUGACCCUUUCUGAGCCUCUGUUUUCUCAUUUGUAAAUUGGAGAUGGUGAUAACAUUUACUAUGGGGUAGCUGCAGGGAUCAAAGGUGAUCGCGUGUGUGUUAGCACCUGGUAAAGCACCUAACACGUAGUUUGUUCUCUUUCUCCAUGCCCUCCCUUUUUGAGGCCUACAAGGUUGUGCAGAGCUGAUCCCGGCCUUCCCCUUCGGUGAUUCAGUGAGCGUCAGCUUAUUUCAUCCUCCCUUCCAUGCUCUGGCCAUACACACUUCUGAGUCCUGGGAAGGCUCUAAGCUCCUUCCUGUCUUGUGAGCUUUUCAAGUGCUAUUCCCUCUGCUUGGAACACCUGACCCCUGGUAACAAGAGGAUUCAGAAUCUGAGAGAUACUGCUUAAAAGGAAAAUGUCCUGGAGGGAUGCCAAACUGCACUCUCAAAGGUUUCGGCUGGAUGUGUGAUAUUGAUGGGGAAACCCAUUUCAGUGUCUCUAAGAAGGGGGUAGUGCUCCUCUUUCCAGGAUGUCUCUGGGGAAUCUAGAGCACCCCAAAGUGUGGUAUGCAUAGAAACAUUGCUGCUUAAGGUCUGAAUAUUUGUUCCUCAUCAAUUCAUGUGUUGAAAUUCUAACCUCUCCUGAAUGGGAUUAGUGCUCUUACACGAGAGGCCUGACAGAGACUCCUCACCCUUCCCACCAUGCGAAGACACAGUGAGAAGGCUCAGUCUAUGAACCAAAAUGUUGACUGUCACCAUUUACUCAAUCUGCUGUCGCCUUGAGCUUGGACUUCCCAGCCUCCAGAACUGUGAGAAAUAAAUUUCUGUUGCUUAUAAGACAACCAGUUUAUGACAUUUCGUUAUAGCAGCCUGAAUGGACUAAGACACCCUUCCCACCAUGUGAAGACAGAGUGAGAAGGUUCGGUCUAUGAACCAAAAACUGACCCUCACCAGUCAUUGAAUCUGCUGGUGCCUUGAUCUUGGACUUCCCAGCCUCCAGAACUGUGAGAAAUAAAUUUCUGUCGUUUAUAAGCCACCUAGUUUAUGAUACUUUGUUAUAGCAGCCUGAAUGGACUGAGACACCCACCUUAAAAAGACAGUACCUCAAAACCAUAAGGCAGGAUAACUGCUAGCCUGAUAUUAAUAGUUUUUAAUUUACUGCUAGCUUCAUUUUGCCAACUGAGUCAGAUAUUUUUUAAAAGUUCUGUUUGCAAUUAUUUUAACUUAGGAGAGGAGAAAAAGAGCAGGCAUCAGCCUGCAUAUGGGAUAUUUCUGAAAGGAUUUUGCUAUGAUUAGCUUGCCCUCAGGGAGAGUAAAAUGUGAGUUAUACAACCAUGCUUAUAUUUAGAUGUUGUUGAUGUUCUGGCUUAUAAUAUAUGAUGAGUUAGAAAUAAUUUUGUACUGAUCAGCCCAACCAGAAAAUAAACAUGCUUUAACUUGUAUUUAUUACUAAACUUGGUCUCCUAAAACAUGAUAAAGCAGUUGAGUCUAUAAUGACUGAGCCAUAGCUUCUCUGACUGACUCUAAGAGGGAAUGACGUUAAUAAGAGAUUAGCCCAUACCUCUAAUAGCCCUGGGAGAGAUGAACCCAAGACGGCAAGGCCCAGCUCUGAUGGAUGAAGGGACAGAGAACUAUAAGAAGACUGGGUUCCAUCUAGGAUGGGUGGCCUGUUGAGUGCCCAUCUUAUCUGCUUAGAUGAUGAUACUUGGAGACCUGACUCAAUUGUUGUGAAUGGUCUUUGUAAAAUUUUAUUUUAGAGACAGGGUCUUGCUAUGUUGCCCAGGCUGGUCUCAAACACCUGGGCUCAAGUGAUCCUCCUGCCUCAGCCUCCUGAGUAGCUGGAACUGCAAGUGAUUACUCUUAUUGAACAAACAAACAAAAACAAGUGCCUGUGACCUAAUAGAGAUGCAUGCAUAUGUUCACCAAAAGAUCUAGAAUGUCCACAACAGCCCUAUUUAUCAUCACCCCAAAUGGGGCACCCUGCACCUACCUCAACAGUAGAUGCAUACAUUUCUGUGUAUUUACACUGUGGAAUAUGACACAGCAAUGACAAUGAAUGAACUACAGCUAUACACAACAACAUGGAUGGCUAUCACAAACAUAAGGUAGAGCUAAAAGCGAAAAAAACCAGCAUAAAAGUGGGCAAAAGCCAUCUAUGUUGUUAAAAAUCAGGAUAGUGGCUGCCCUGGAAGGGGGCAUGAGGAGGCUUCAAGGUGCUUGUCAUGUUCUCUUUCUUCACUGGGACGCUGGUUACGCAGGUGUGUUCAGUUGGUGAAAAUUCACCCAGCUGUGCAUACAACGUGUGUAUACUUUCAUGUAUAUUAUAGUUCAAUAAAAAGUACUGCUACUACCACUGCUACUAAUAAAGGUCCAUG
rnacentral:lncRNA from 1 species